CUCACAUGACUGGUGAUUUCAGGGAGGACUCUGGAAUGUUGUAUUUCCUAAGCCUUUGCCUUAGAUUCUGAUUUGACUGGUCCUGGGUGCAACGGGGCUGGCAUGAGACGACUAAAAACUCCCCAGGUGAAUCCAAUGAGCAACCAGGCUAAGGACCAGUGAUCUAACUGUAAGUCAUUCUCUUCUUUUCCCUUUGUAAUUUUAUGUUUCCACCUCAUACUGUGGUUGGCUACAUCUGUUUCUUCCCUCUCCUACUAGAAUGUAGGCUCCAGAUGGCCUUCCAAACAAUACAUGUGGCCCUUCACGCUCCAGGUGAUGACAAGUACCCGUUGCUGAUGGAAGUAGCAGAGUCAUACCUUUCUUGGAAUUUAGGUUCUACAGUCAAUGCUUAUGGCACCCAAUGAGUCAAAAACACCCUUGGCAACUCCUAAGGAAGGCUCUGCCCUGGAACCUGAUGUACUGUUUCCCCAUCACCAUCCAGGGAGAGUUUCCUCCUGGGCCGGAACAGAAAGCUGCCUCCUCCAUCAGGCACCAGAGGAAGUAGGGGGCUUCUGUUUAGGGACCACUUUGCAUAAAUACACAUUUAAACAUGUGCCUCACCCUCAGCACAGCAGGAUGCUCACGCCAUGAACAGCCAACAGGAACCAGAGUGACCGACCCUCCAGGAGGUACACACCUCCCUCCCAUCCCACCCACUUCUGAGCAUAUGGUUCUCACAUCCACCAGUGGGUGGAAUCACCCACACCAUUUAAACUUUUUGUCAAGGAUGUAGAGCUGAAUUCAUGUGAUUUCCCACAUGAGCAAUGUCCCUCCCUCCACUGCACAAUUAUAGCCAGCUCAAGCAGGUCCUCUCCUUCCUUCUACCUGCCCUGCAAAUGGCUCUCUCCUUCACUGACCCCCCGCCCUCCUUCUUAAAGGCUGAUGCUCCCUAGGACUCUAUCCUUGAUGCUUCUCAUUAAUUCUUCUCCCCGCUGGCUCUCAGCCCUACUUAGGGCUCCUGAUCAGUUAAAAAAGACCCAUGAGACCUCCCCUCCCCAGUUAACAGAGAUGUGGCCCAAGAGGCUCCCCACUUCUAAUUUGAGUGGGGGCAAAAGAAGAGAAAGAUCUUAUCUAGGUCUUGGGGGCAGGGCUUGCAGGGCACAAAGAAACAGAGUAAAUGUGCAACAGGCUAUUUUCUUGAAUGAAUGGAUUCAUAAUAAGAACAGGACUUCACCAGCUUCCAAGGGACCCUCCCCACCUCUCGGAUAUAUUCUGAAGCCUAAAUUUCACCUGCUUAUCUAGGAUCCUAGGCCAGGCCUUCUGCCACACCAAGCCACACCAACUCUGAGUCCAAGAGGGAAGGACUG
rnacentral:lncRNA from 1 species